ACUGCAAUUUGAGCCGAAGCCACGAACACACGACACCAGACAGGUUGCUGUGGGACGUUAUUCAUAAAAGCCUUCCUCAGUCUGGCCCACAAAGGCUGGAAGGUCACCAAUCCAUCCACGCCAUUCACACACGAGAGACCUCAAGUCCCUGACACAAGCAGCUACAGACCCAGCCAGACAGCCCAACAAAAGGCUCAAACUGAAAAUGAGAGAUCAAUAUUCAAAGAGAGCAGCAUAGCACUUAAGUAUUUCUAUCCUUCCAAGCUCCUCAAGUGUUUAAUUUUUUAUACAACGCUAUCGAGGAAAACCACAGGAAGAGAGAAACCCAUUUAAUCAUCCUAAUCAAAACACCACUUCUCUGAGAGCUAAGUUUGGAACAGCAACAGUUCAACACAGCACUCUCAAUGGGGAAUAACCAGAAAUGGAGCUGCAAAAAAAGGCAUCACAUCUCUUUUACCUGCAAGGACGGAACGUGCGCUAUCCUUUUCUGCACAGUGGUGCUGGUGGUCUUGGAAGCCAUCCCAGCUAAGGUGCAAGCCUUCAGAGAAAGGGUGGGAGCUUCGGAGUCAUUGGCAGGUGUGACACUCUUGCCAGCAGCAGUCUUCUUGCCACUCACCAGGCCUACAAGAAACAGACAACACACUUUAGAAGAAAAGCUACCACAGGGCUUCAAGCUGUCAGAAUGGACUUGCUGUGCUACAAACUGCAUUUUUUCAAUAGAAGCCUCCCAAGGGAUAAAAAUUAGGUAAUUUUACCACCUUCCAGGCAAGGUGGAAGGAGCCUUCUGCUAGGAACCAUGCCUUGUUUUUUUUUUUUGCUGUUGUUGCUUUGAGGUAACUGAGUCAGUCGAGUUUAAAGAGUUAACCCUGCCUGCCACAAUGCACCACCUGCUCAUCAGGUCAGCUCUGAGCCCUUCCAACCACAGCGGGACACAUACUGAUGAGCACAAAUUAGUACUUCCCUCCUGCCCAGCCACCUCCUCAAAGCAGAAGAAGAGCAAACAGUCUCCAAAGAAUAAACAGGAAAGAGCUGUACAUUUAGCCUGUUGCUUUUUGGAAACUGAUGGCACUUCUCAUGGGAAAGACCUUCCAUCAGUGCCUAUAAGCAAAGAUUCCAAUUGUGGCCCUCCUGAUAGUUUCCCGUUUUCAGCCUCAGAGAAAUUUAAGCACAGUGAGCAUCUUUCCAACAGCAGAGAGGACAAGAUAAUGAUGACAAGCGGUGCUGCCGGCUUACUUUGUUUGACCGCUGCAGUAAGGGCUACAUUUGGCACGUGAGCAAUCCUCCUCUUUUCUCCUGGCAAAGACAGGGAGGCCUUUUGGACAGCCACUGCCAGCUGUGCUGCUUGCUGCUGGGCCAGCUGGAUCCUCUGGUAGCACACCUCCUGUGCCGUGGGCGGACGGUACGGCCGGACUACAGGUCUGUUCGGGACCUCUGCCUGCACAGACAAAAAGGUUUCUAGAGCCAGCAAUCCCCACCCUUCAAUUCUCACCCUCCCAAGAAAGGUCUCUCUUCCCUGACCCAUCCAUGUUAGCAUAUCCUGGUUUUAGAGGGAAGAUCCCAACCAUCUUCCAGAAUACAGCACUCAGUCACCCACCUCAAAGCGCAGCACCAAAUGACUCGCCCUCUGGUGGGACCUCUCAUCGCUGUGGGAUUUCCCUGAGCUGGUUGUGGGAAAGGUGCCAAAAAUGAUGCUGGCGUUGAGAAGUUCUCUUGGAGCCGAAGAACAGGAGAAGCAGUACAAACUUUGCCAUAUUACUUAAUAACCACCGAAAUGUGAGAAAUCAGCCCAAACAGCCCCAUGUGUAACACAGCACUUUGGAGACCGCCAGCCGGGGUGAGCUGGCACCUCCUGCAUUCCUGCCCUCUGAGCUGACAGCGGCUUCUGGAAACCAAACUGAGUGCAGCCAACCAUUAAAGGAUAAUUACAGCCCUCCUAGCAGGACAGGACACUCAUUUGCUGCCUCACCUUCAAUUCCUUUGACCCGCCAUUCCCCCUCAGAAACUCAGCUAAGAACUCAGCUCCCUCCCCUUCAGCCCGCUCAGUGUUUGAGCUAUAAAUCACGAGCAGGGCUGAGCAAAUAUUCGACCCGGAGGGACGUGGCAAAGCACGAGUAACCGUGCAGGCAAAAGCAGCAGUUCAGGUCUGACAGCACCUCCUGAACACACCUGGCAGCAGCACAGAGCUGCCAGCCCCAGGCAGGCACGUCCCGGUGCUGAGCACACCAGGUCGGCUCUGUUUGCCCACGCGAUGGCUGUGUUGGGGCUCACAGCUUUGGAAAGCGUUCUGGGAUCAGCUGUCACAUUAAGAAAAUGUAUUUCGAGAUUUGUACACGUCUAAAAGGCACCUAUUUGCAAUAAAUAUUUGAGUUAAUGAAUUUCCAA